rnacentral:rRNA from 1 species
GCUGGCGGCGUGGAUUAGGCAUGCAAGUCGGACGAUUUUUUGUUGGUUUUUUGGGCCGCAAGGCCUGAAGAAUUGGUGAAAAAGAGUAGCAAAAGGGCGAGGAACACGUGGGUAAUUUACCCCCAAGAUCAGGAUAACAUUGCGAAAGUGAUGCUAAUACUGGAUAAGACCACGGGAGGGCAUCCUCCUGAGGUUAAAUGAUUGUUGAGGCUACGCAAGUAGAAUGCCUUCGCUUAGGGAUAAGCCCGCAUCCUAUUAGCUAGUUGGCAGGGUAACGGCCUACCAAGGCGACGAUGGGUAGCUGGUCUGAGAGGAUGGUCAGCCGCACUGGGACUGAGACACUGCCCAGACUCCUACGGGAGGCUGCAGUCGAGGAUCUUUUGCAAUGGGCGAAAGCCUGACAAUGCGACGCCGCGUGCAGGAUGAAGGUUUUCGGAUUGUAAACUGCUUUUGCACCGGAUGAAAAUCCCGAAUUAGAAAUGGUUCGGGAUUGACAGUACGGUGAGAAUAAGCCACGGCUAACUCCGUGCCAGCAGCCGCGGUAAUACGGAGGUGGCUAGCGUUGUUCGGAUUUAUUGGGUGUAAAGGGCAUGUAGGUGUUCUGAUAAGUUUUGGGUGAAAUCCUUCACUCAAUCGAAGAACUGCCUAAAAAACCGUCAGAAUUGAGUUCAGGGGAGGAGAGUGGAAUUCCCGGUGUAAGAGUGAAAUCUGUAGAUAUCGGGAGGAACACCAGUGGCGAAGGCGACUCUCUAUUCUGUUACUGACACUGAAGUGCGAAAGCUAGGGGAGCAAACAGGAUUAGAUACCCUGGUAGUCCUAGCUGUAAACGAUGGGCACUAGGUGUCGGCCCCUUUAGGGGUCGGUGCCGUAGUUAACACGUUAAGUGCCCCACCUGGGGAGUACGACCGCAAGGUUGAAACUCAAAGGAAUUGACGGGGGUCCGCACAAGCGGUGGUGCAUGUGGUUUAAUUCGAUGCUACGCGAAGAACCUUACCAGGGCUUGACAUGCUGGAAGUAGGAACCUGAAAGGGGGACGAUCUGUUAAGUCAGAAACCAGAACAGGUGCUGCAUGGCUGUCGUCAGCUCGUGCCGUGAGGUGUUGGGUUAAGUCCCGCAACGAGCGCAACCCUUAUCCUUAGUUGCUACUUUGCAUCGUAAGGUGCAGAGGCACUCUAAGGAGACUGCCUCGUAUAACGAGGAGGAAGGCGGGGAUGACGUCAAGUCAGUAUGGCCCUUAUGUCCUGGGCUACACACGUGCAACAAUGGCUUGUACAGAGGGAUGCCAAACCGCGAGGUGGAGCAAAUCCCAAAAAGCAGGCCUUAGUUCAGAUUGGAGGCUGCAAUUCGCCUCCAUGAAGUAGGAAUCGCUAGUAAGCGCGGAUCAGCUAUGCCGCGCUGAAUACGUUCCCGGACCUUGUACACACCGCCCGUCAAGCGAUGGAAGCUGGGGGUACCCGAAGUCGUCGGUCUAACCCUGUUUCAGGGAGGAAGACGCCUAAGGUAAAAUCAGUGACUGGCGCUAAGUCGUAACAAGGCA